AGGCCAUGAUGGGGACACUUGUGUAAUAGCUCCUUGAACCUUUCCCAUGUUUCAUAUAAGGAUUCCCCGUCCUCUUGUGAGUAU
rnacentral:snoRNA from 1 species